rnacentral:rRNA from 1 species
UACGGGGGGGGCAAGCGUUGUUCGGAAUUACUGGGCGUAAAGGGCUCGUAGGCGGCCAACUAAGUCAGACGUGAAAUCCCUCGGCUUAACCGGGGAACUGCAUCUGAUACUGGAUGGCUUGAGAUUGGGAGAGGGAUGCGGAAUUCCAGGUGUAGCGGUGAAAUGCGUAGAUAUCUGGAGGAACACCUGUGGCGAAGGCGGCCCCCUGGUUGGAUACUGACGCUGAUACGCGAAAGCGUGGGGAGCAAACAGG